CCCGCCCCCCCCCCCCCGUUGUUUCCCUUUUGUUUCCAUGUCACUGUUGCUUUGUGUUUGCUGCUGUCACAAAGGACUGAGUCUUCAGAGGGCAAGGACGAACAUUGUGCUCUUGUGCCUCUGGUUAGUGUUUGAUUAGCACCUGACGCUAACUAAGCGCCAAUCCAGGUCCCGGGGACUAAUUCAGCAAGAUGGACCCGCGUCUGUGUCUUUGAGGAUUUCUAUUCCCACUGAGAAAACUUAGUAACAGAAAAGGCGUCAUUGCCUGAUUAGGAUGAGUGACAUUUCUCACACAAGCCAUCUUCCCUGCUCAUAUGUUAGAAAGCCCCAUACCUGCCGUGUGCACUCCGUGAAGAUGUGAUAGAAAUAAGAAAUGAAACCGGACUGAUUGACUUGCCCUCUCCAUGUGUGUCCCUCAGCCUCCGCCUUCUUGUGUCUUGGAAUAAUCACUUUAAGAGAAGCCGUGGAUUCAUUGCCAAAGUCAGCUCCUCCCUCCCACCCGGGCAGCGCUUUCUCAUAUUCUGUAUGUGAUGGGUUCAUUAGAAAGAAUAAAAAUCGAUUUUAUUGGG